rnacentral:rRNA from 1 species
GACGAACGCUGGCGGCGUGCCUAAUACAUGCAAGUUGAGCGCUGAAGGUUGGUACUUGUACCAACUGGAUGAGCAGCGAACGGGUGAGUAACGCGUGGGGAAUCUGCCUUUGAGCGGGGGACAACAUUUGGAAACGAAUGCUAAUACCGCAUAAAAACUUUAAACACAAGGUUUAAGUUUGAAAGAUGCAAUUGCAUCACUCAAAGAUGAUCCCGCGUUGUAUUAGCUAGUUGGUGAGGUAAAGGCUCACCAAGGCGAUGAUACAUAGCCGACCUGAGAGGGUGAUCGGCCACAUUGGGACUUAGACACGGCCCAAACUCCUACGGGAGGCAGCAGUAGGGAAUCUUCGGCAAUGGACGAAAGUCUGACCGAGCAACGCCGCGUGAGUGAAGAAGGUUUUCGGAUCGUAAAACUCUGUUGGUAGAGAAGAAAGUUGGUGAGAGUGGAAAGCUCAUCAAGUGACGGUAACUACCCAGAAAGGGACGGCUAACUACGUG